rnacentral:rRNA from 1 species
UACAGAGGGUGCGAGCGUUAAUCGGAAUUACUGGGCGUAAAGAGCUCGUAGGCGGUUUGUUGCGUCGGCUGUGAAAUCCCGAGGCUCAACCUCGGGUCUGCAGUCGAUACGAGCAAACUAGAGUGUUGCAGGGGAGACUGGAAUUCCUGGUGUAGCGGUGAAAUGCGCAGAUAUCAGGAGGAACACCGGUGGCGAAGGCGGGUCUCUGGGCCGAUACUGACGCUGAGGAGCGAAAGCGUGGGGAGCAAACCGG